GUGAUGUUUAAAUGAUCGCUCGCUUCCUCCUCUACCUUCCCUUUGCAUACGAUACUGCUACUGUUCCUUCGGAUAUAGCAACAAAUGAAGAUGUGUGCUGCGUCUUGGUCUGCAUGCAUCUUUGGUGCUCUCUUGUUAGUCUCCACCGUGUCUGAAGGAUUACGACCAAACCCAUUAGAUGCUACAGCAGGCUCAAGCAAAAGAGAAAACCGAAGGAGAGAACGAGAUGAUCUGAUGUCUAAGGAGGAGAUUGCCGACGAUGGCGUUGGGGAGGGAGUCUACGCGACAACGGGGUCGAGCUUGCCCGACUGCUCGCACGCGU